CGCUGCCGGGCCCUGGCCUUGGCCUGCGAGGUGGGGGUGCUGUUUAAUAAAAAUACCGAUUCCUGGAAGCCACACCUGCGCAGGGAGCUGGGGUCCCCUUUCGUCCUUCCAAUCCCAUGUCUGUUAGUGCCCCGGUGUUACAGACGGAGGAGCGCUGUGAGCAUCAGACGAGAGAGGAAGCGAGGAGGCCAGUGAGGAAACUUGGAGCAGGCAGAGAUGUCGCAGGGAGAGUUGCCAAGGUCACACUGAGCCCGAGGUGCCUGUGGACCUCAGGACGCAGUCAGAGAAGCGACUCUGGGCGGAAGAGAUUCAGGGAGAAACCCUCAAAGUUGAGGGAGGCUGAUGUCUGACGUCGGAGGCGCUGGAGACAGCAGAUGAAAGUGAUUUGGAAAUGAAUGGACGGCACAAAUGACAGGUUGGGUGCGAAC